UCUUUGUCCUAAACUUUGUAGAUCUGAUCAUAAAAAUUGAAGGUAUGUUGUUUUAAUUUGUUGUUUAUCUAUUGUGUAUCUUUAAUCAAGCGAUUGAACAUUUAUCUUUUUGUUUUUUUGCAAACAAAAUCAAGAUCAGAGGUUUUAUUAUCAUCAUCUACAUUUAUCAAAGUUACUGAUUUUUGUUGAUUUUGUUUUUCAUGUGGAACCCUAAAUCUUGGAUAAAAUCGGACUCCGAUCAUUCGUGAAACAAUAGAGGUGUUAAUUUGAAAUUUUAUGUGAUUAUCUUUUGAAGUUCUUAUGUUAUGGAUCAUGAAAACAACGCUCCUUCGUUGUUAAAGUU
rnacentral:lncRNA from 1 species